GGAGGUGACUGGAGUUUUCACAGCUCUGGUCAAGCACUUUUGACCCUGUGUUAUCUGUGACUCUCCGUGCUGGAAUCCCACUCUCCUCUGCUUUCACUUUCUACUUCAGUUACGUGUGGCUGGGAUUUGAAGACAUCAACUCAAAAUCCACAGAAAGAAGAUAUUUAUAAAUUUAAUUUUUCUCCACACUACUGAACAGGGAUGAAACCUUGAAUCCCCCGUGUGUACCACUGCCAUGAGAAUUAUCCUCUGCCCAGUGUCCACACUGCACAGGCCUGAGAAACUCAGAAGCCAACUUUUAUCAGGUUCAGGGUCCCACAGGCCUGUAACAUUCAUCUCCCUCAUCUCAUGAGCUUAUAAAGUGUGAGAAAAUGUCAGAGGGAGAGUGCCAUGGAUUGUGUAACUUCCACUACUACACUAUUAUCAUUAUUCUGCUUUAUUAUUACAACCACCUGGAGCCACAGAUGAUCAUCUGGGAGAAAACUAGGAGUCUGAGUGUAAGCACCGCACUGUGAAGAUAGGAUCCUGAGUGAAAAGGCAAAGUGUCUAUUUACAGUAGUGACUUUAGAUCCAGAGUCUGAAGAGAGGAAGGAAGAGGAGGGUGAGGAGAGGAAGAGAAGGCAGCAGAGUCUGCCUGUGUGUCUCUCCUGGUGUGUUGUGGAAUAAUCUUUUUGCACAAUGUGAAGAAAUGUCACUUGCAUUGGUUCAAUAAAAAGCUAUCAGCCAAUAGCUGGGCAGAAUUAUCAGGGCAAAGAGAAUGUUGAGAAGAAGGGUGGAGUCUCCAGGAGAUGGGGAGAGAAGCAAGAUGAACAUAUUAUACAGAGGAAAAGUACAGAGCCACUUGGUAGAACAUAGGAAAGAAAUAUGGGUUAAUUUUAGUUAUGGGCUUAAGUUAUAGAUUUAAGUUAUAGUUAUAAACAAGCCUAAGCUAUAGGCCAUGAAUUCAUAA